rnacentral:tRNA from 1 species
GGGAGUGGAUGGGGCCCGGUGGCCCUUGCGGACUUCAAAUCCGUUAUGCCUCGUGAAUAGCGGGGUAGGUGGGUUCGACUCCCUCGCACUCCCGCCA